GCACUGUCCAGACAGGGUUGUACAAGCCCCUGGAGCUGCUGCCAGAUGCUAUUAUGCUCUCACUCUGAAGAUGUCAAACUCCUGAAGAGAGCAAUUGUUUUGCUUCAGGUUGCAGUAAAGCUUACAAAGACUAUGCUUGGGGCGAGAGACAGAGGCUUUGUGUGUACCAAGGAAAUUUGGUGUAUGAAGAGAGUGGAGCUGGGCACAGGACUGAUACAACUUGCCAGCAAGUGAGUUCCUCCACAAUUUAGUCUUGGCUGUGUCUCCAGUGAGAAAGUACUACUUGGAACAUGAAGGAAUUUGAAAGAACACACAGAGGAAAACAAAAAAUCCAAGAUGUCAUUUUGCAUUUGAUUUCAAAAAGUGAAUUU